rnacentral:rRNA from 1 species
ACAGGGAUUGCCCUAGUAACGGCGAGUGAAGCGGCAACAGCUCAAAUUUGAAAUCUGGCGUCUUUGGCGUCCGAGUUGUAAUUUGCAGAGGGCGCUUUGGCAUUGGCAGCGGUCCAAGUUCCUUGGAACAGGACGUCACAGAGGGUGAGAAUCCCGUACGUGGUCGCUAGCCUUUACCGUGUAAAGCCCCUUCGACGAGUCGAGUUGUUUGGGAAUGCAGCUCUAAAUGGGAGGUAAAUUUCUUCUAAAGCUAAAUACUGGCCAGAGACCGAUAGCGCACAAGUAGAGUGAUCGAAAGAUGAAAAGCACUUUGGAAAGAGAGUUAAAAAGCACGUGAAAUUGUUGAAAGGGAAGCGCUUGCAGCCAGACUUGCCUGUAGUUGCUCAUCCGGGUUUUUACCCGGUGCACUCUUCUAUAGGCAGGCCAGCAUCAGUUUGGGCGGUUGGAUAAAGGUCUCUGUCACGUACCUCCUCUCGGGGAGAACUUAUAGGGGAGACGUAAUGCAACCAGCCUGGACUGAGGUCCGCGCAUCUGCUAGGAUGCUGGCGUAAUGGCUGUAAGCGGCCCGUCUUGAAACACGGACCAAGGAGUCUAACAUCUAUGCGAGUGUUUGGGUGUCAAGCCCGAGCGCGUAAUGAAAGUGAACGGAGGUGGGAACCUUUCGGGGUGCACCAUCGACCGAUCCUGAUGUCUUCGGAUGGAUUUGAGUAAGAGCAUAGCUGUUGGGACCCGAAAGAUGGUGAACUAUGCUUGAAUAGGGUGAAGCCAGAGGAAACUCUGGUGGAGGCUCGCAGCGGUUCUGACGUGCAAAUCGAUCGUCAAAUUUGGGCAUAGGGGCGAAAGACUAAUCGAACUAUCUAGUAGCUGGUUCCUGCCGAAGUUUCCCUCAGGAUAGCAGUAACGUUUUCAGUUUUAUGAGGUAAAGCGAAUGAUUAGAGGCCUGGGGGUUGAAACAACCUUCACCUAUUCUCAAACUUUAAAUAUGUAAGAAGUCCUUGUUACUUAAUUGAACGUGGACAGUUGAAUGUAUCGUUACUAGUGGGCCAUUUUUGGUAAGCAGAACUGGCGAUGCGGGAUGAACCGAACGCGGGGUUAAGGUGCCAGAAUAUACGCUCAUCAGACACCACAAAAGGUGUUAGUUCAUCUAGACAGCAGGACGGUGGCCAUGGAAGUCGGAAUCCGCUAAGGAGUGUGUAACAACUCACCUGCCGAAUGAACUAGCCCUGAAAAUGGAUGGCGCUCAAGCGUAUUACCCAUACCCCGCCGCUGGGGCAAGAUUUAAGCCCCAGCGAGUAGGCAGGCGUGGAGGUCCGUGACGAA